CCUCAACUCCUAAAUAGCCCUCUUUCUUGGCCUGAGACAGGAACAGGUGUUUUCAUCAUUUGUACAGAUUUCCUUGUUUCCUCAAUAACUCCAUAGCCUUAGGGAUUUGCAUCCAUAAGAGAAACCCAAGUAGAGAAGAGGUACAGUUAGCAGUACCGUGACCCAUUGCUGAGGAGGGCUGACGUCACCCCACUCACUCUACAAAUAGUUGCUGGGUGAAGAGUAAAGGCUAAUGGCCCGAGAAGCUGCUGACCCCAGACCCAGAGAGCCCACAGCUUCCCAAGUAGCACAAUCUCCAGGUGUCCAUUUCCCUUGGGUGUUUCCAUCUGGGAUGUUGAUGUAGUAAAUAUGAUUGUCCUCGGAAGAAGAAAGAGUCAUGAUGCUCCAGCAACCCCAAAAUCAGUGACUAGAAGCCCAUCAGAGCACAUCUUGAACACUCCAGGAAGAGACCUGGCUAUCCCUCUACACCAAGUUACGUUCAGCACUGAAAGUUUCUGUUCCCAGUGGAGGCUGCUCAACAGCUCUGAAAUGAUAUUUA